AUUCGACAAGACUAAACCAUCCGUGAGGAUGGGACGGAAAGCCUAGGGUCUCACCGAGACAGCCGGGAUGCCGAA
rnacentral:ncRNA from 1 species